rnacentral:rRNA from 1 species
UACGUAGGGCGCAAGCGGUGUCCGGAUUUAUUGGGCGUAAAGAGCUCGUAGGCGGCUUGUCGCGUCGACUGUGAAAAACCACGACUCAACCGUGGGACUGCAGUCGAUACGGGCAGGCUAGAGUUCGGUAGGGGAGACUGGAAUUCCUGGUGUAGCGGUGAAAUGCGCAGAUAUCAGGAGGAACACCGGUGGCGAAGGCGGGUCUCUGGGCCGAUACUGACGCUGAGGAGCGAAAGCGUGGGGAGCGAACAGG